rnacentral:rRNA from 1 species
UAGUCCACGCUGUAAACGAUGUCUACUUGGAGGUUGUUGUCUUGAAUGAUGGCUUUCGGAGCUAACGCGUUAAGUAGACCGCCUGGGGAGUACGGCCGCAAGGUUAAAACUCAAAUGAAUUGACGGGGGCCCGCACAAGCGGUGGAGCAUGUGGUUUAAUUCGAUGCAACGCGAAGAACCUUACCUACUCUUGACAUCUACAGAAGCUUGCAGAGAUGCGAGUGUGCCUUCGGGAACUGUAAGACAGGUGCUGCAUGGCUGUCGUCAGCUCGUGUUGUGAAAUGUUGGGUUAAGUCCCGCAACGAGCGCAACCCUUAUCCUUGUUUGCCAGCACAUAAUGGUGGGAACUCCAGGGAGACUGCCGGUGAUAAACCGGAGGAAGGUAAGGAUGACGUCAAGUCAGCAUGCCCCUUAUGCUCUGGGCUACACACGUGCUACAAUGGCCGUGACAAAGAGUUGCUACUUUGUGAAAACAAGCUAAUCUCAUAAACGCGGACCUC